AAAGAACACUAAAUUAAUCUUCAUCAAUUGAAGUCGGCCAAGGAAGGUUCUAAAAACCCUAAUAUAAUAGCAGGUAAAUGAAUCAUAUGUCGUCCAACCAACUGGUGGCGAUUCGUGACCAGGAAAUCGAAAGAGAGAGGACGAUGGAGUCUUCAGGCGACGGCGAUGAUGAUAUCCGUUUGAAGGUGGUAGGAUCCGUAUAUGCAAGUCAUCCCGAGGGGUGUUUGUUUCUGAAUUUCAUCCCAUGUGUAACUAUUCUUCAAUCUUAUGUGCAUACCUCUUGGAUUGUCAAGCAGGAGCAUACAGAAGCUGCGGGAUCUAUACUUUGUAAGGUCUCCUGAGUAUCAGCAGUGGCAGCCAGAGCCAGUGCAGGAGAUAGAGCCGGAGUGGCGGCAGAAGAACCAAAUUCUUUAACGUUAAACACAGAUGAUGUUAACACCACUAUACCCACUACAAGCUGACCAUGAGUUUUGGUUCAUCAAGCAGAGUGCAAGAGCCAGAAUAUUGAGUUGUGGGGAUUAAUUCUUAUGAAGUGUUGUUGGCUGAGCAUUCCAUUCCACUGAAGAAGUAGUUCUCAAUCACAUAUUAAAGAUCAAUGAUGACCCAUCUGUUCAUGGAAUAUACUUGUUCAACUACCUACCUUUGCCUUUUGUAAGCUUCUAAAUUAUAUCCGAUUAUAGUAUGUUUUUUCGUGAAUUUCUGUAUAUCUUUUUUAAAGUUUGACAAGGAAGAGCAUCUGAUUGGGCUCCCUUUACCACAAUGCUGGGCGGUUUCAAAAUUGCACAUGCUGGUUGAUGGAGUCAUAAGUAGUUAUGAUAAGUUUUUCUUUAAUGAUAUUGCAUGGGAAUCAUAUGACUUCUUUUGGGGUGAUUUUGCUGAUUGGUACAUUGAAGCAAGUAAUGCACAUCUUUACCAAUGAAGAUAUAGAAAUUGCCUCUAUAUCCUAGGCUGUUAUUUUAUAUGUUUAUGAAAAUAUAUUAAACAUGUUCCAUCCAUUUAUGCAUGUUACCGAAGAAUCAUGCAUGGCAGGCGCUUCCUAAUAUGAAAGAAGCUCUAAUAGUGUCUUCGUGGCCUCUUACUUCACUUCCACGGAAUCUCGCUGCCAUAAAAAGGUUUGAAAAAUUGCAAGCGUUGACGCGAGCAAUAAGGAAUGUGAGGGCUGAAUAUUCUUUGAGCCUGCAAAACGAAUAUCUGCAUCUUUCGUUGCUAAUUCAGGAGUCAUCCAAAAAUAAUCCUAGAUGAAGAAUUGUAUUUUUUUUGGGCAAAAAUUGGAAUACGUAUACCACUCUUAACAAAUGUUGAAGAAAAUGUACGCAAACCUAUUUGACAGAACACGACACAAACACACGGAAUUUGUGUGAGAGAAAUGGAUGUAUUGGCUCUUCUAUCCAGUCUCGGUUUGCAAAGCAUCCAUUUUACAGAUUCGCCCAGAUGCAAAUCAAAGUGUUCAUCUUGUUGCUAGGGAAGGUCUAGAGCCAUAUCUUCCUCUUGCAGAUAUGGUAGACAUUUCUGGAGAAGUUCAACGGUUAUCCAAACGCCUUUCAAGAUGCAAAACGAAUACAACACACUUGUGGCACGUUUGAGUUCUCCCAAUUUUGUUGAGAAAGCUCCUGAGGACGUUGUUCGUGCAAGAAGGCAUCAAAAGCAGAAGAAAAAUUGAAUCUUACAAAAACUCGUCCGUCUUUUCUUCAAUCGACUAUUUUGGUCUUAGAGUAGAUGUAAUUCUCUACUGUAAUUGUGUUCGUUGAUUAACUUGUCUUCGGUCUAUUAGCACCCUACGAUUAAUCGUGUCGACUCCGCCGCAACGUGCGGGUUCCCCACUAGUACUAGUAAUAGUAAUAUUCCCCGCGCGUUGCUGCGGGUCUACGGC